rnacentral:rRNA from 1 species
AAGAGUUUGAUCCUGGCUCAGGAUUAACGCUGGCGGCGUGCCUAAUACAUGCAAGUCGAACGGAAACCUUCGGGUUUUAGUGGCGAACGGGUGAGUAACACGUAAGCAACCUACCCUAAAGACGAGGAUAACCAUUGGAAACAGUGGCUAAGACUGGAUAGGAAGAUAAAAGGCAUCUUGUAUCUUUUAAAAGACCUAGUUAAUAGGUAUGCUUUAGGAGGGGCUUGCGCCAUAUUAGUUAGUUGGUAGGGUAAUGGCCUACCAAGACGAUGAUGUGUAGCUGGACUGAGAGGUUGAACAGCCACAUUGGGACUGAGACACGGCCCAAACUCCUACGGGAGGCAGCAGUAGGGAAUUUUCGGCAAUGGAGGAAACUCUGACCGAGCAACGCCGCGUGAAUGACGAAGUACUUCGGUAUGUAAAGUUCUUUUAUCGAGGAAGAAAAGCAAAUGGCGAACCAUUUGUUUGCCGGUACUUGAUGAAUAAGCCCCGGCUAAUUAUGUGCCAGCAGCCGCGGUAAGACAUAAGGGGCAAGUGUUAUCCGGAAUUAUUGGGCGUAAAGGGUGCGUAGGCGGUCUAGUAAGUCAGUGGUGUAAUGGCAACGCUUAACGUUGUCCGGCUAUUGAAACUGCUAAACUUGAGUUAGAUAGAGGCGAGUGGAAUUCCAUGUGUAGCGGUAAAAUGCGUAAAUAUAUGGAGGAACACCAGAGGCGUAGGCGGCUCGCUGGGUCUUAACUGACGCUGAGGCACGAAAGCGUGGGGAGCAAACAGGAUUAGAUACCCUGGUAGUCCACGCCGUAAACGAUGAGUACUAAGUGUCGGGUUAAACCGGUACUGAAGUUAACACAUUAAGUACUCCGCCUGAGUAGUACGUACGCAAGUAUGAAACUUAAAGGAAUUGACGGGACUCCGCACAAGCGGUGGAUCAUGUUGUUUAAUUCGAAGAUACCCGAAAAACCUUACCAGGUCUUGACAUGUUUUUGCAAAAUGAUAGUAAUAUCGUGGAGGUUACCAGAAACACAGGUGGUGCAUGGUUGUCGUCAGCUCGUGUCGUGAGAUGUUAGGUUAAGUCCUAAAACGAGCGAAACCCUUAUCGUUAGUUGCCAGCACGUUAUGGUGGGGACUUUAACGAGACUGCCAAUGAUAAAUUGGAGGAAGGUGAGGAUCACGUCAAAUCAGCAUGCCCCUUAUGACCUGGGCUACAAACGUGAUACAAUGGCUGUUACAAAGGGUAGCUGAAACGCAAGUUCUUGGCCAAUCCCCAAAAACAGUCCCAGUCCGGAUUGAAGUCUGCAACUCGACUUCAUGAAGUUGGAAUCGCUAGUAAUCGCGAAUCAGCAUGUCGCGGUGAAUACGUUCUCGGGGUUUGUACACACCGCCCGUCAAACCACGAAAGUUGGCAAUACCCCAAAACGGUAGCCUAACUCGUUUAUUCGAGAGGGCGCCGUCUAAGGUAGGGUCGAUGAUUGGGGUUAAGUCGUAACAAGGUAUCCCUACCGGAAGGUGGGGAUGGAUCACCUCCUUUCUAAGGAAACCAAUAAAAGCAAUCAUCUUCAGUUUUGAAAGACUUAGGCAACUAAGUUUUUCUUCGUGACUUCACGAAGGGCCUAUAGCUCAGUUGGUUAGAGCACACGCCUGAUAAGCGUGAGGUCGGUGGUUCAAGUCCAUUUAGGCCCACCAGAGUUAUAGGUUUCGUAAGAACACAAAUUCUUUGAAAAUUAGGUAAAUAAUAGUUAUUUAUCCGGAACAUUAAAGGAAAUAAGAGCGCACAGUGGAUGCCUAGGCACCAAGAGCCGAUGAAGGACG